rnacentral:lncRNA from 1 species
AAGCUUUUCACCAUGUUUCAAAGGAAAUUAAAAAGUACACCAUUCCCACGAAAAUUUCCAAAGUAUUAGAUUUAUUUCACUCCAAAAAACAAAAACCCUCCAGAAAUUGUACCAGCAGUUUUUCAUCCUUCUUUGAAUUCUCGCACGGAUGUGAAUAAUCAACGGCGCCGCCAUUAUACUAUCGUCGACAUGCUGUGAACCGCCACAAAAUUGUCAUCGUUGUUCUCACACCCGCCGCGUUAGGAAGUCAUCUCCGCAGGUACGGUUCUUCCAAAAUCACUCGUAUGGUAAGACAUUUACUUGUCUCAUGCUGAUGUGCUCUAUGAAAAUUCCAAUAUUUCCAGUUCAAUAUAGUAGUUUUUAAUUUCCCUUCUUCUUUUUGUCAGCCGUCAAUUUCGCUUGCGAGGUAAAACUUUGACAGGCCUCUACUCUUCUUAUUUCUACGAUUUUGAUUGAAAAUCUGAUAUUUUCAAUUCAAUUUGAGUUUUUUGAAUUGCUCGUAUUCUUCCUUUCAGCCAUCAAUUUCGGCAUAAAUUCGAGGGCAC